AGCAGGAGGGAGGCAAAAACCCUAGGACUCCCUUUCCUCAUUGAUUUUAACUGCCAAAUCGUAGGAAUCGGGGAAAAAAAGAUUUUUUAAAAUUAAAAAAAAAUUAGUUCUCCAGUUCGUGAAAUCUUUCGCUCGACUUUGUUAACUUCUAGGGUAUUUUGUGCGUGGAGGUGACUUUGUUGCGAUCAAAGACAACUCGAUAGUUAACGAGG